UGGAAGUAAAAAGUCGUAACAAGGUUUCCGUAGGUGAACCUGCGGAAGGAUCAUUACCGAGUGAGGGCCCUCUGGGUCCAACCUCCCACCCGUGUUUAUUUUACCUUGUUGCUUCGGCGGGCCCGCCUUAACUGGCCGCCGGGGGGCUCACGCCCCCGGGCCCGCGCCCGCCGAAGACACCCUCGAACUCUGUCUGAAGAUUGAAGUCUGAGUGAAAAUAUAAAUUAUUUAAAACUUUCAACAACGGAUCUCUUGGUUCCGGCAUCGAUGAAGAACGCAGCGAAAUGCGAUACGUAAUGUGAAUUGCAAAUUCAGUGAAUCAUCGAGUCUUUGAACGCACAUUGCGCCCCCUGGUAUUCCGGGGGGCAUGCCUGUCCGAGCGUCAUUGCUGCCCUCAAGCCCGGCUUGUGUGUUGGGCCCCGUCCUCCGAUCUCCGGGGGACGGGCCCGAAAGGCAGCGGCGGCACCGCGUCCGGUCCUCGAGCGUAUGGGGCUUUGUCACCCGCUCUGUAGGCCCGGCCGGCGCUUGCCGAUCAACCCAAAUUUUUAUCCAGGUUGACCUCGGAUCAGGUAGGGAUACCCGCUGAACUUAAGCAUAUCAAUAAGCGGAGGAA
rnacentral:rRNA from 1 species